rnacentral:rRNA from 1 species
CCUACGGGAGGCAGCAGUGAGGAAUAUUGGUCAAUGGACGAAAGUCUGAACCAGCCACGUAGCGUGAAGGAUGACUGCCCUAUGGGUUGUAAACUUCUUUUAUAUGGGAAUAAAAUGUUCCACGUGUGGGAUUUUGUAUGUACCAUAUGAAUAAGGAUCGGCUAACUCCGUGCCAGCAGCCGCGGUAAUACGGAGGAUCCGAGCGUUAUCCGGAUUUAUUGGGUUUAAAGGGAGCGUAGGUGGAUUGUUAAGUCAGUUGUGAAAGUUUGCGGCUCAACCGUAAAAUUGCAGUUGAAACUGGCAGUCUUGAGUACAGUAGAGGUAGGCGGAAUUCGUGGUGUAGCGGUGAAAUGCUUAGAUAUCACGAAGAACUCCGAUUGCGAAGGCAGCUCACUGGACUGCAACUGACACUGAGGCUCGAAAGUGUGGGGAUCAAACAGGAUUAGAUACCCCUGUAGUC